UGGGUUGUGGCUCAGCGGUAGAGCACUUGCCUGGCAUGCACGAGGCCCUGGUUUCGAUUCUCAACACCACAU
rnacentral:tRNA from 1 species